AUUGAACGCUGGCGGCAGGCCUAACACAUGCAAGUCGAACGAGUGGCGGACGGGUGAGUAAUGUCUGGGAAACUGCCCGAUGGAGGGGGAUAACUACUGGAAACGGUAGCUAAUACCGCAUACCAUCGGAUGUGCCCAGAUGGGAUUGGCUUGUAGGUGAGGUAACGGCUCACCUAGGCGACGAUCCCUAGCUGGUCUGAGAGGAUGACCAGCGACACGGGAACUGGGACACGGUCCAGACGCCUACGGGAGGUAGCAGUGGGGAAUAAGGAACAAUGGGCGCAAGCCUGAAGAAGCCAUGCCGGGUGUAUGAGGAAGGCCUUCGGGUUGUAAAGUACUUUCAGCGGGGAGGCGUUACCCGCAGAAGAAGAAACGGCUAACGCCGUGCCAGCAGCCGCGGUAAUUC
rnacentral:rRNA from 1 species